rnacentral:tRNA from 1 species
GUGGAUGUGGCUCAAAGAACAUGCGUUUAGCAUAUGCAAAGCCCUGGGUUCAAUCCCCAGCACCACA